AAGCCUAUAGUAUAGCGGUUAGUACCCAUCGUUGAUAUCGGUGUGGCAGAGGUUCAAUUCCUCUUGGGCUUA
rfam:Cryptococcus gattii R265 mitochondrial scaffold supercont2.28, whole genome shotgun sequence.